rnacentral:rRNA from 1 species
AGCGAACGCUGGCGGCAGGCCUAACACAUGCAAGUCGAACGAAGUCUUCGGACUUAGUGGCGGACGGGUGAGUAACACGUGGGAACGUACCUUUUGGUUCGGAACAACUCAGGGAAACUUGAGCUAAUACCGGAUGAGCCCUUAGGGGGAAAGAUUUAUCGCCGAAAGAGCGGCCCGCGUUAGAUUAGCUAGUUGGUGAGGUAAAGGCUCACCAAGGCUACGAUCUAGAGCUGGUCUGAGAGGAUGAUCAGCCACACUGGGACUGAGACGCGGCCCAGACUCCUACGGGAGGCAGCAGUGGGGAAUCUUGCGCAAUGGGCGAAAGCCUGACGCAGCCAUGCCGCGUGAAUGAUGAAGGUCUUAGGAUUGUAAAAUUCUUUUACCGGGGACGAUAAGGACGGUACCUGGAGAAAAAGCCCCGGCUAACUUCGUGCCAGCAGCCGCCGCCGUAA